rnacentral:lncRNA from 1 species
GGAGGGUCGGCCGGUGAUGGACUUCGGAUGGCGUUGGGGAGGUUCGGCAGACAUCGGAGGUGAUCGAUCAUUGUAGGAAUCCAGCUGAUGGAGCCCGAUUGUCGUAGAAGCCCAUCCAAUAUCCAACCGCUAUGGAGGUUCGGUCGAAGUCUGGUUCUUGUAGAAGGCUGAAAGGAGAUCGCUUAUUGUAGAAGCUUGAUGAAGGUGGUCGACCGC